GUACAUAUAAAUAUAUCUACACAUAUAUAAAACAUGUUUAUUUUAUGCAUUUAGUUCUAUAUAUAUAUUUUUUUAAUUUAUUAAAUUAUUUUUCCUUUUUUUUAUUUAAAAAUUAUUAACCAAUGAACAAAUGGAAAAAUUCAAGAGCCCUUUAAUGAAUAAAAAUAUAAGUGAUGUUUUUAUUUCCUAUAAUGAUAUGAGUACGUACUAAUAUUUUAUUUAUUUAUUUAUUUUUUUUUUUUUUGCUUUGCAUAAAAAUAAUAGUAAUAAACUAAUAUAGUUUUAUACAUACAUUUUUGUGUAUUCAUAUAUAUUUAGUUUAAAUUUUUUUUUUUUUUUUUUUUUUUUUGGUCUAAAUUUAAUAGUACAAGACAACGAAUAUGAAAGUAGUUAUGGAUCAUACAAAGAUGUCAGUGACUUUUUGGAAAAUUCCGAAAGCUCAAGUAGUCAAUAUUCAAGUGAAAGUGAACCACUAAAAUUGUACAACUCACAUUUUACAAAUAGAAAAGCAAAUAUUCAGGAAACUAAUUCCGUUAAUGAUAUAUUUACAUGUGAAAAAGAAAAUAUAUUGAGACACUCUUACACAGAUAGUUAUAUAAAUGAAAUGGACAGUAUGGAGUGCUUUCCGUUUACAGAUUAUAAACACAAUACCACCAAUAUGAAUAAUAUAAGCGAAUUAGCGGAAUACCAAUGGAAACCAUAUGGUCGUAGUGUGCCUGACAUUUCUUCAAUAAACUUGACCCACAGAAAGGCAUGGGAUAUUGGAAGAGAAGGUAAACAGAGGACCAUAAUAAAUAUUAUCUGAUGUAUACAUAUAUAUAUAUCCCUAUUUAUAAUAUCUUAUUGAUAUUUAUUUUAAACAUACCAUUUUUAUUUUUUAAUAUUUUUUUAUUAGUUUUAAGCACACGGACGUGCACACAUAACUUCUUUAACUUUUCAUGUUUUUAUAGGUUGUAACGGAAUACUCAUUAAAAGCAUUUUAGAUAGCUAUAAUAAAAAGAAACUGAAUUAUAUAUUACUGGAUGGU
rnacentral:lncRNA from 1 species